rnacentral:tmRNA from 1 species
GGGGGCGUUUUUGGAUUCGACAGGGGUCCCCAGAGCUUGUGAAGCGUGUCGGAGGGUUGGCUCCGUCAUCAACACAUCAGUUUAUAAUAACUGGCAAAACUAACAAUAACUUAGCAGUAGCUGCCUAACGCACUCUGCAUCACCUAACAGCAUCGCCUAUGUGCUGUUAACGUGAUUCAACUUUAGUAGGAUACGCUCGUUACUGCCGUUUGAAGUCUGACGAGAAGAGAUGAAUCAAACUAGCAUCAUGUUGGCUGUCUAUCGCCUUGCAUGAUGUGAAUGUGAUAGAUAGACUACACACGUAGAAACAUUUGUAUCAGGACCUUUGGACGCGGGUUCGAAUCCCGCCGUCUCCACUG